rnacentral:rRNA from 1 species
CAGCAGCCGCGGGAAUACGUAGGGUGCGAGCGUUAAUCGGAAUUACUGGGCGUAAAGCGUGCGCAGGCGGUUGUGUAAGACAGGCGUGAAAUCCCCGGGCUUAACCUGGGAACUGCGCUUGUGGCUGCACAGCUAGAGUAUGGCAGAGGGGGGUGGAAUUCCACGUGUAGCAGUGAAAUGCGUAGAGAUGUGGAGGAACACCGAUGGCGAAGGCAGCCCCUGGGCCAAUACUGACGCUCAUGCACGAAAGCGUGGGGAGCAAACAGGAUUAGAGACCCCAGUAGUCCCUGUCUCUUAUACA